GCACCUAGUUUACACUUAGAAGAUUUCACACAAAAUGACCACUUUGAAACUAAACAUAGCUCAAAAUAUACUAUAUAUACAUAUAUAUAUUACCACCCCAAUAACAUUAAAAUAAAACAUUCAUAACAAUUAAAAGUAUAGGUGAUAGAAAUUUUACAUGACGCUAUAGAGAAA
rnacentral:rRNA from 1 species